rnacentral:lncRNA from 1 species
UUAUACUUCUCGAGUUCCAGUCGUGUUGGCACAAACCCACUCGCUUAUCACAACCACCGGCCACCGCUUACUGCUGCCGCGAACCAGCCGGAUUCGGAACCGUCGUACCGUCGCCACCGAUUCAGUCAUCCCAGACAUCUAUCUCUGGUUCAUUCCGGCCACAGAUACACCGCCGCACAACCUUACUGCCAAGAGCCGUUUGCCACCGUGACCAACACCGCACCAUUCUUCGCAUUCCGUUGUGACCGUAGCGCUGAGUUUCAUCAUCACCGGUGUCGACUUUUAAUUCGCGAUCAGUUGCCGCCACACCUUCUGGUUCGAUCAACCCCCGCCCUAGCGAAAAAAUUUCGGACCAACUGUCACGAAUUCGACCUCCGCAUUCUUCUUUCAGGUGCCAACUGAACCCUCAUCCGAUUAGUAUUUAGACGUUUAAUUUUGGUUGUUGUGUUGUUUCCGGCGACUAAAAAAAAAUUGUACAAGCUAAGUUAAUCUUAAACUUUGCUCAUGAGGUGGGUUAAAUCUGGAUAUGGGUUGGUUUUAUGGUGGUUGUUCGAUGGCUGGAUUUGAGAAAUACACCACUGAACAAAAAUUGUUUUGGAAACCAGUUUUUGAUUGUUUAAGGACGACUAGAUUCAUUUGA